AACGAACGCUGGCGGCAGGCUUAACACAUGCAAGUCGAACGAGAUCUUCGGAUCUAGUGGCAGACGGGUGAGGAACACGUGGGAACAUCCCUUUCAGUUCGGAAUAACGUUGGGAAACUAACGCUAAUACCGGAUACGUCUUUCGGGAGAAAGAUUUAUCGCUGAAAGAUUGGCCCGCGUCUGAUUAGCUAGUUGGUGAGGUAAUGGCUCACCAAGGCUACGAUCAGUAGCUGAUCUGAGAGGAUGAUCAGCCACAUUGGGACUGAGACACGGCCCAAACUCCUACGGGAGGCAGCAGUGGGGAAUAUUGGACAAUGGGCGCAAGCCUGAUCCAGCCAUGCCGCGUGAGUGAUGACGGCCUUCGGGUUGUAAAGCUCUUUUGUCCGGGAAGAUAAUGACUGUACCGGAAGAAUAAGCCCCGGCAAACUUCGUGCCAGCAGCCGCCGUAA
rnacentral:rRNA from 1 species